AUGGUUCAAAACAAAAACAAUAAACAAAACCACAAGGAGAAACGACUCCAUCCAUGGUUGGGUUGAGGCCUACCUACAUCUGUGAACGUCCCGCUGCCCACACCCUCUUCGAAUUCCUAAAUCAGCCACUGUAAAUUUCUGGUCUCAGUAUAUGGCAGGUAUUUGUCACAAGUUAACUUGGUAUAAACGCAAAACCUCAGCAACCUACUGGAUUUCUCAUUUUCUUUUCGUAAUUGGAAUGUUGUUUUCAAAGUAUGUAAUUUAUACGUGACAUUUAUUAAUUGAAAAUAAUAUUACUUGCUAUUUUAGUGUCCUUUUUAAAUUUUGAUUUUACAAAACAUAUCAUAAUUCUGAUGCCUAGACUUAUGGUAGUUUAAUUGGCUUAAAUGGAGGUAACUCUGUCGGCUAAACCGGUGGUAGCAACUGUCUUUCGGAUGAGACGUUUAAGCUGUUAACACCAUUAAAUAUUUUAAGUCUCAGUUAAGCAUGCAUAAAUAUUUAAAUCAAUCCAUUAUUGUAUAUUAUAUAAUGGUCGUUAAAUAAUGAUUUUAUAUGUCCCGACCCACCAACCACCCCCACCCUGCUAUGUUGUUAUAACACUGUUAUUAUUCAGUCAUGAGAAGGGGGUUAUGCUGUUACUCUUAGACUUUGUAAUAUUUUUGCAUACAUAAAAUCCAUAAAACUAUUCUUUUUUGUUCUUAGUGAUUUUUCUGUUGUUUUACAUUGUUUAGCACUAAAAAACAACAUAUUUCGGUUGUUCUACAGUGCUUUACAUUAGUAAACAACAGAUAAUUUUUUUUUUUAUUUUUGUAGUCUUAACUGGUGUAAGGUUUACCAUUUAGAAUUAAUUACUUUGUAUCAGAUGUGUCUGUGGUGCAAUGGUUAGUGAUGUUGGAUUCAGAUCUAAAGGUUGGUGGUUCAAAUCUAGGGAUUUUUGUUUUUUUUGUUGCUAAUUUUGCAAAAAAAAACAAAAAAAAACAAAAAAAACGGGAAAAAAACCCAAAAAUUGUAUGACCUCUCAGUGGCGUCAAUCUGUCGCGCCUGCCCUGUCCGUGGCGUCGAUCCUUCGCGCCUGCCCUGUCCUUGGCGUCGAUCCUUCGCGCCUGCCCUGUCCGUGGCGUCGAUCCUUCGCGCCUGCCCUGUCGUUGGCGUCGAUCCUUCGCGCCUACCCUGUCCGUGGCGUCGAUCCUUCGCGCCUGCCCUGUACGUGGUGACACCCCUGCCCUGUCCGUGGCAUCUGCCGGAGACGCCUGCCUUGUCCGUGGCGUCUAUCCGAGAUGCCUGCCCUGUCCGUAGCCCUGUCCGUACCAAGUGCCUGUCCGUGGUGAGACUUGAUCCUAUGUACCAAGUUUAGGAAGUAGAGCGUCUACCUCCAAGCCAACUGUCUCACUAAAAGACUCUGUUAAUUUCUAAGUUUUAAACCACACUUAAUGUUUAAU